AGAGUUUGAUCAUGGCUCAGAACGAACGCUGGCGGCAUGCCUAACACAUGCAAGUCGAACGAGACCUUCGGGUCUAGUGGCGCACGGGUGCGUAACGCGUGGGAAUCUGCCCUUGGGUUCGGAAUAACAGUUAGAAAUGACUGCUAAUACCGGAUGCUCCCGAGAGGGAAAAGAUUUAUCGCUUGAGGAUGAGGCUGCGCGCCAUCAGCUAGUUGGUAAGGUAAUGGCUUACCAAGGCGACGACGGCUAGGGGACCUGAGAGGGUGACCCCCCACACUGGGACUGAGACACGGCCCAGACUCCUACGGGAGGCAGCAGUGAGGAAUAUUGCUCAAUGGGCGCAAGCCUGAAGCAGCGACGCCGCGUGGAUGAAGAAGGUUUUCGGACUGUAAAAUCCUUUUCUGUGUGACGAGAGUGGACGGUAGCACAGGAAUAAGUCUCGGCUAACUACGUG
rnacentral:rRNA from 1 species